AUGUCAUUCCGUAGCAUUGUGCGCGAUGUAAGGGAUAGCUUUGGGAGCUUAUCUCGAAGAGGAUUUGACAUCAGGAUUCUGGGCAAUGGCAGAGGGAGAUCUCAUGGUGCUGUCCAUGAGUUACAUGACCCCGUUCCUGUAAUCCAGAGCAGCUGUUGGGCUAACUUGCCUUCCGAAUUGCUUCGAGAUGUGAUUGAGAGGUUGGAGGCUAGUGAGGCUACAUGGCCCUGUAGGAAGAAUGUUGUUGCUUGCGCAGCUGUCUGCAGAACAUGGAGAGAGAUGUGUAAAGAGAUUGUAAAAAAUCCGGAGUUUUGUGGAAAGAUCACUUUUCCUGUGUCCCUCAAGCAGCCUGGCCCUCGGGAUGGAACUAUGCAGUGCUUCAUUAAGCGGGAUAGAUCUACCCAAACUUACUACCUGUACCUCUGCCUUACCUCAGCUGUGCUUGUCGAAAAUGGCAAAUUCCUUCUGUCAGCAAAAAGGAUCUGCCGUGCAACAUGUACAGAAUAUAUAAUAUCUAUGAACGCGAAUAGUAUAUCGAGGUCUACCGACACAUACAUUGGAAAAAUGAGGUCAAAUUUCCUUGGCACCAAGUUUGUAAUGUAUGACACACAGCCUCCUUACAAUGCAAGUAGUGUUUCGCAUUCUGGGACAACAAGCCGAAGAUUCUACUCCAAGAAAGGGUCGACGAAGGUUCCUUGCAGCACGUACAGCAUAGCUCAGGUCUCCUAUGAGCUCAACGUCUUGGGAACCCGAGGUCCUAGGCGGAUGCGCUGUGUAAUGCACUCCAUCCCUGCCUCAUCGCUCGAGGCUGGUGGCAGUGUCCCUUGCCAACCGGAUAUCAUCUUCUCCCGUUCCCUAGACGAAUCUUUCAGCAGCAUGCCGGUCUCGAAAUCUUCCGUCAUGGACCAUUCCAUGCGUUUUAGCAGUGCCAGAUUCUCCGACGUCUCAAUAGGAGGUGGCCCGGCGAUCAGAGGACAAGCCUUGAGCGACGGCGAUGAUUUGAAGGACACGCCGUUGAUUCUCCGCAACAAGGUUCCAAGAUGGCAUGAGCAGCUGCAGUGCUGGUGCCUCAACUUCCGUGGCCGGGUGACUGUGGCUUCUGUCAAGAACUUCCAGCUCACCGCUGCUGCUCAGCCUGCUGCUGGAGCCCCAACUCCACCACACCCUGCGCCAGCGCCUCCGCCUGAGCAUGAUAAGGUGAUACUUCAGUUCGGCAAGGUUGCAAAGGAUAUGUUCACCAUGGACUACCGGUACCCUCUCUCGGCCUUCCAGGCCUUCGCCCUCUCCCUGAGCAGCUUCGACACCAAGUUGGCGUGCGAAUAG
rnacentral:rRNA from 1 species